rnacentral:rRNA from 1 species
UACGAAGGGGGCUAGCGUUGUUCGGAAUUACUGGGCGUAAAGCGCGCGUAGGCGGAUUUGCAAGUCGGGGGUGAAAGCCCGAGGCUCAACCUCGGAACUGCCCUCGAUACUGCAAAUCUCGAGUCCGAGAGAGGUGAGUGGAAUUCCUAGUGUAGAGGUGAAAUUCGUAGAUAUUAGGAAGAACACCAGUGGCGAAGGCGGCUCACUGGCUCGGUACUGACGCUGAGGCGCGAAAGCGUGGGAGCAAACAGG